rnacentral:misc_RNA from 1 species
GCUGAAGCUAUGUACAUCAGGAAGCGCCAGCUUCUUUAUUACAGAGAUGAAUUUGGUGAUAGAGGUGAGAGAGUCACUGUAGACCCAUCUCUGGUUUUUGAGAAUCCAAGACUUCGAAAUGCUUAUAUAGCAUUGCAAGCUUGGAAACAAGCUAUCCUCUCUGAUCCUAUGAAUCUUACUGCCAAUUGGGUCGGAUCUGAUGUUUGCCACUACACUGGGGUUUACUGUGCUCACGCUCUCGAUAACAAGACCAUCAAUACUGUCGCCGGCAUUGACCUCAACCACGGUGAUAUUGCUGGCUACUUACCGGAGGAGCUUGGCUUGCUGGUGGAUCUUGCAUUGUUUCACAUCAACUCCAACAGGUUUUGUGGAACUGUACCUCACAAGUUCAAAGACUUGGG